GCUGACGGCAGUAAGCAGAAUUAGCCUGAAAUACUGCAUUUUGACCACUGUGCUGCAAUAGCUGGGAUAAAAGCCAGGAUAAAAAAAAUCCCUAACCACUUCUGAAACAGGCCAUGAAAUAAAAGCAAAUUGAAACCUAAGUAGUUGGUCUCUCUGUGGAAGCUAAGCAGGGUUGGUGUUGGUUAAUCUUAGGAUGGGAGACCCCCAAGGUUUGAGGAGUCUCAGAAAUCUCAGCAGCAGCAACCAAUGUCAGGUUGAUGUUGAGGAAUGUCCAGGCUUGACUUGAAGGAGGCAUCUCUGGUCCCCUUUGGCUGUACCAUCCAAAAUACUGAAGAAUGGCAAAGCCAGAGAGAGGUGAGCAGAAACAUUUUUCAUCUCAUUCCCUGGAGUAAUCCCAUGGCAGAACUCACUACGCAAAGGAACCUCUACUUUCAGAGGCAGUCUACCCCAGAAUG